rnacentral:misc_RNA from 1 species
AACCUAGCACACCUGCGGUGUGUACCUGCGGAAGGAUCAUUACAGAGUUCGUGCCCUCGCGGGUAGAUCUCCCACCCUUGUGUAUUUUCUACAUUUUGUUGCUUUGGCAGGCCGUUGGUUCGCCAACCACCGGCUCGCGGGCUGGUGCGUGCCUGCCAGAGGACCUCUCAAACUCGGUUUGUCAGUGUCGUCUGAGUACCAUAACAAUCGUUAAAACUUUCAACAAUGGAUCUCAGAUCG